UACGACGAACGAGACCUUAAUAUCAAUCGUCACUGUCCAUUAC
rnacentral:sRNA from 1 species